CCCUUCCGCCGCUCUUCGGCUUCUCUCUCGCUCCCUUUCUUCUCCUCUCUUUCGCCUCCCUCAUCUCACUGCCCCUCACGUUCCACACACCUCUCCUUGUCUCCCUCACGUGCUCCCCCCUGCCAUCCCUGCUCCCUUCACUCUCUUCUGUCCCCUUCACGUUCCACCCCACUUCACCCUACACCCUUCCACUUCUCCUCUUUCCCACGCCUCUGUCCAUCUUGUCCCUCACGCCUAUUCCUCCCAGAUUCCCCUUUCUCUUCCUCGGGAGCAAACCCUAUAAAGACAGAUCGAAAGGAAGAAAAGAAAAAAGGAAAAGAAGAAAGAGGACUUUUAUUUUUCGGCCACUACUUUAAUUUCGAGUUUUGCCCAAAUUUUUGGUUUCGGGUUCAAUCAUUAUCGGUAUUUUGAGAUCAUUCGAAAAAAAAAAAUCAAACCAAACUUCUUUUAAAAGAGUAUUCUGUACUAUCGGGAUUUCGAUUGGAAAGAUUUUUGAGCUUUGAGUUCGUCGUGUUCGAAAACGUAGAUUCGUGAGCGCCGACGACCCCGUUCACUGCAUCACGAACAGACUCGUCAUCCCUUGCGUUCAGUGUUGGGCCAUAGCCCAACGGGGUCUUCUCCUUUCCUGUCCAGGCUGCCCACAACAAACAAAAAUAAGAAAGAUUGACUUUCUGGGCCAAAGCCCAAUAACAAAAUAGAUCGUAACAGCAGCCUAGUCACAGCAGUCUAAAAAUGGGUUGAGCCCAUUUAAUUUAUUUGCUCUUCCAUUUCAUUUCGUGCAUUUUAAUUAUAUUGUACAACUAACACUUUAUUUGUUUAUUUUCUUAGCUAGAUCGAACCUUGGUAGAACUAGUGGUUUAAUUUUAGCAAAAUGGGUAGGGAUAACUAAAGUUCAAUCCCAUAGUCCCAUUUUCCUCUUUUAUUAAAUUAUCUAUAGUACUUAACAUUUAUCUGUAAUUAAAACAAUUGAUUUUCGAGGGCGUGAAA